AUACGACCGUACCGCAAACCGACACUGGUGCGCGAGAUGAGUAUUCUAAGGCGCUUGAGAGAACUCAGGAGAAGGAACUCGGCAAAUUGACACCGUAACUUCGGAAGAAGGUGUGCCCUAUUAGUGUGUAGUGAACAACGAAGCAUGAAUGGGUUGCAAAAAAUCGGUGGCUGCGACUGUUUAUUAAAAACACAGCACUCUGCAAACACGAAAGUGGACGUAUAGGGUGUGACGCCUGCCCGGUGCUGGAAGAUUAAAUGAUGGGGUGCAAGCUCUUGAUUGAAGUCCCAGUAAACGGCGGCCGUAACAAUAACGGUCCUAAGGUAGCGAAAUUCCUUGUCGGGUAAGUUCCGACCUGCACGAAUGGCGUAACGAUGGCCACACUGUCUCCUCCUGAGACUCAGCGAAGUUGAAAUGUUUGUGAUGAUGCAAUCUCCCCGCGGAAAGACGGAAAGACCCCAUGAACCUUUACUGUAGCUUUGUAUUGGACUUUGAACAGAUCUGUGUAGGAUAGGUGGGAGGCUUUGAAGCAGGGUCGCUAGAUCUUGUGGAGCCAACGUUAAAAUACCACCCUGGUGUGUUUGAGGUUCUAACCUAGGUCCAUUAUCUGGAUCGGGGACAGUGCAUGGUAGGCAGUUUGACUGGGGCGGUCUCCUCCCAAAGCGUAACGGAGGAGUUCGAAGGUACGCUAGUUACGGUCGGACAUCGUGACGAUAGUGCAAUGGCAUAAGCGUGCUUAACUGCGAGACUGACAAGUCAGCAGAUGCGAAAGCAGGACAUAGUGAUCCGGUGGUUCUGUAUGGAAGGGCCAUCGCUCAACGGAUAAAAGGUACUCUGGGGAUAACAGGCUGAUACCGCCCAAGAGUUCAUAUCGACGGCGGUGUUUGGCACCUCGAUGUCGGCUCAUCUCAUCCUGGGGCUGUAGCCGGUCCCAAGGGUAUGGCUGUUCGCCAUUUAAAGAGGUACGUGAGCUGGGUUUAAAACGUCGUGAGACAGUUUGGUCCCUAUCUUCCGUGGGCGCUGCAGAUUUGAGGAAGCCUGCUCCUGGUACGAGAGGACCGGAGUGGACACACCUCUGGUGUAUCGGUUGUCACGCCAGUGGCAUUGCCGAGUAGCUAAGUGUGGAAGAGAUAACCGCUGAAAGCAUCUAAGCGGGAAACUCGUUUCAAGAUGAGAUCUGCCGGGGCCUUGAGCCCCCUAAAGAGUCGUUCAAGACCAGGACGUUGAUAGGUCAGGUGUGGAAGCG
rnacentral:rRNA from 1 species